GGAUGGCGAAGAGUUCCACUACAUCUCCGGUAGCAUCCACUACAACAGGAUCCCCAGGGCCUACUGCAAAGACAGGCUAGUCAAGAUGUAUAUGGCCGGACUGAACGCCAUUCAGGCGUAUGUAAACUUAGCCUGACGACUCACACUAAGUUAUUCUGCUGCUCCGUCGUUCGCUAUAUACUUUACUCUGAGACUGCCAUCAUUGAAGUCGUUUGUGGUACAUCCCCUGGAAUUUCCAUGAGCCCAACCGUAUCGGUACAACUUCAGUGGGGGGACAGGGAUCUAGAACACUUCCUGCAGUUGGCCCAAGACAUUGGUCUGCUGGCUGUACUGAGGCCUGGGCCCUACAUCUGUGGAGAGAGGGAUAUGGGGUGCUUGCCUGUCUGGCUACUCCACAAGAAAGACAUGGUCCUGCGUUCCUCAGACCCAGAUUACAUUGCGGCUGUUGACAUGUGGAUGGGCAAACUACUGCCAAUGUUAAAGGGUUCCUUUAUCAGAACAGUGGACCCGUCAUUACUGUUCAGUGGAGAGUGAGUACGGCAGCUACUUUGCCUGUGACUACAACUACCCGAGUCACCUGACCAGUCUGUUCCACACCCACCUGGGGAACGACGUUGUGCAGUUCACCAGACGGGGCCAGGGUCGGGUACCUCAAGUGUGGCUCUCUGCAGGGCCUCUACGCCACUGUGGACUUUGGCCCAGAUACAUGUUUAUUGGAGGAACCAAUUUUGGAUACUGGAAUGGUGCCUAUGCCCCCCAGCCUACUAGUUAUGACUAUGAUGCUCCGCUCACUGAGGCAGGAGACCUCACUGACAUAUUUUGCCAGGAUGUCAUCAAAAUGUAUCGGACGAUACCGGAGGGACCCGUGCUUCCAACACCUAAAUAUGCCUACGGAGUUGUGCCAAUGAAGAAGGUAGCUGCAGGAACCCUAGAGAGGGAUUAGGCCCUGACCAUCAACAUGACUGGGAAGGCUGGGGGUCAGGUGGACAUACUGGUGGAGAACAUGGGCUGAGUCAACUAUGGGAAAGACAUCAACGACUUUAAGGCAAGAUGUUAUUUAAUUGGAGUCUGGGAAACCAACCCUAAGUGUCCUAUGCGCACAUACGACUAUGAUUUUUUGACUCCCUUCCUUCCCCCUCGCUCUCUCUCCCCAUCUAUCCACCCACCCACCAACACACACACACACACACGGGCCUGGUGUCUAACCUGACAU